rnacentral:rRNA from 1 species
UACGAAGGGGGGCUAGCGUUGUUCGGAAUUAUUGGGCGUAAAGGGCGCGUAGGCGGUGCGGUAAGUCACCUGUGAAAACUCUGGGCUCAACUCAGAGCCUGCAGGCGAAACUGCCGUGCUUGAGUGUGGGAGAGGUGCGUGGAAUUCCCCGGUGUAGCGGUGAAAUGCGUAGAUAUCGGGAGGAACACCUGUGGCGAAAGCGGCGCACUGGACCACAACUGACGCUGAGGCGCGAAAGCUAGGGGAGCAAACAGG